AGGUGCCCAAUUAGCCGAUCACAUAUUAGCCAUAUAUGGCUGCUUCUUUCUGUGAUUGGUCAGUAUGUCACCAAUAUAAGUAUCUUGUUGGUAGCCUUUUCUGAAUGUGGACAAAUUCUGUGUUCUCUUUUCUAGGCUAUUAACUGUACACAUUC